rnacentral:rRNA from 1 species
UAAUACGUAGGUCCCGAGCGUUGUCCGGAUUUAUUGGGCGUAAAGCGAGCGCAGGUGGUUUAUUAAGUCUGGUGUAAAAGGCAGUGGCUCAACCAUUGUAUGCAUUGGAAACUGGUAGACUUGAGUGCAGGAGAGGAGAGUGGAAUUCCAUGUGUAGCGGUGAAAUGCGUAGAUAUAUGGAGGAACACCGGUGGCGAAAGCGGCUCUCUGGCCUGUAACUGACACUGAGGCUCGAAAGCGUGGGGAGCAAACAGGAUUAGAUACCCUGGUAGUCCACGCCGUAAACGAUGAGUGCUAGAUGUAGGGAGCUAUAAGUUCUCUGUAUCGCAGCUAACGCAAUAAGCACUCCGCCUGGGGAGUACGACCGCAAGGUUG